GUAACAGUAUUUGACCUGUACUACCCUGUCUACCCCUUCCCGUCAGAGCCGGAUUAAGGGGGGGUUCCUGGGGGUAAGUACCCCGGGUCCCCCUUUCUAAAAGGGCCCCCUGCCAUCCGCCACAGGUCGGAUCUUUACCGAUCCGAUCUGCAGCGCUCCAGGAUCCCCUCGGCACUGGCAGGCAUACUCGUAGCCGCCGGCGCCGCAUAGAUGUCAGGACAGGACAGCUGAGUGCAGCAGGAGGCGGAGGAAGUGGCCAGCCUGCUGCACUACCGCCGGGCGCCCACGUGCGAUGCGCCCGGCACUCGUCCCUGCUGCUGCUGCCGGACUCCCGCGGUGCUCCUUGUUCUUUUUCCUGCCGCCGCCGGGCUCUCACAUGGGGUGCAUGGUGCACCCGGUUCCUGCCGCCGCCGGGCUCUCACAUGGGGUGCACGGUGAACCCGGUUCCUGCCGCCGCUGGAGCCACACAAUGAACUUACUGCUUUUUGCUCAUCUUGGGUGCAGUCCUGAUGUUCAUAGCUUCCAGCCUCUCUUCCAGUUGAUGUUAUGAAAGUGGUCUACAUAGGUAUGUAGUUGGCAUCCGAUGGUCAAGAUGCUGGCGGUCAGAAGUCCAGCACAAGAAUACUGACACCACUCAGAAUACUGACUAUGGAAUUCCAUCAGUCAGCAUCCUUAAUGUACAUGACUGGGAAAAAGAGGAAUCAGACGGCUAAAGCUACCUGGACCCAUGGCUGUUGAAUGGAAGCUCCGGAUCCGAAGGCAGAAUAUACUGAAGCUGGAUUCCUUGAAGAGGACAAACCCUUUCCACAGGUUUAAAUUAGGGAUGUUUGCCGGGCCAUUUUUACCGGAUCUGGAUUUGGUUCUGAUUUGUCGGCCGGCUUUGGAUUUGCAAAACCGCAGUGAUUGGCUUGGCUUUGGAUUUAUUUAAAAAAUGUACAAAAAAAAUAAAAUAAAAUCACUUAAUUUGA